AACAAAAAAAGUGAUUUCACAAAUUCUGUCUAGGCACUUGUUGAAAGAAAGACAAAGAAAAUCGCUUAGGAAUUAUGCGAUAGAAUUGCUCUCUGAGAAUAUCCGAUUCACGGCCUUUGGAUUUUUUUCUUUGGACACUUCUCUAAUGAUGUCGAUCGGCAACGCUAUAAUAGUGUACCAGAUAGUUUUACACGAAUUAGUAGAGGAAGAAUAAUUAAUGAAAUGUUUCCUCAGUAUAAAUGGUAAUAACUAAGAAAAAAAUUUUGUAAACCAAUGCACGGUAAU